UUCUGUGGCUUAGUUGGUUAAAGCACCGGUUGAGCGUAUACGGGGUCGUGGGUUCAAGUCCCACCAGAA
rnacentral:tRNA from 1 species